rnacentral:rRNA from 1 species
GGGCAAGUGUUGUCCGGAUUUAUUGGGCGUAAAGAGCGUGUAGGCGGCUUUGCAAGUCCGUUGUGAAAACUCGAGGCUCAACCUCGAGACGCCGGUGGAAACUGCAAAGCUAGAGUCCGGAAGAGGAGAGUGGAAUUCCUGGUGUAGCGGUGAAAUGCGCAGAUAUCAGGAAGAACACCCGUGGCGAAGGCGGCUCUCUGGGACGGUACUGACGCUGAGACGCGAAAGCGUGGGGAGCGAGCAGG